rnacentral:lncRNA from 1 species
GUGUCGGAGAUGGGUCUAGGCAGCACAGCAAGGAACGCCUCGGGGAGCAGGUGGCAAAGGGGAUGCAAAAGCAGUGGCAGGAGCUGGAGGCUCAGAAGAAAUACACUGUGCAGGCUGUCAGCAUGGAGACACUGAGCUCAACUUCACCACGACAGGCAGCCCCCAGCACAGCUGUAACAAAGAGGUGCUUAAAGCCAGACAGAAUCCAGACUGCCACAGGAGGAGAAGAAAGGAAGACGAGAAGAAAGAAAAUGAGAUGGGAUUUUCCUUAUCUUCCUCUCGCUGUGGGAACUGCUGAGCACAUGCUGGCUGCAGGGGAGACCCCAGAGUGCUUCCUUUCCUUCGUGCUGUGCCCACCCUGUGGAAUACAGAGCCAAUUUAGAUGGCAAUAUGUGCUGUUUGAUAUGAAGUGCAACACCUGGCACCCAGGACUGCCUUCAGUUCCUGAGGAUGGAGGUUAAGGAGAACAGAGGGCUGCAAAUUACCAACAGCAAAGGGAAGAACUGCAAGCAAUGAAUAACGAGAAGCAAAUAUUUGGUCAGGCACACAAACACAG